rnacentral:rRNA from 1 species
UACAGGAGGCCCGAGCGUUAGUCGGAAUCACUGGGCUUAAAGGGUGCGUAGGCGGGCCCGUAUGUGUACCGUGAAAUCCCUCGGCUCAACCGGGGAACUGCGGCGCAAACGGCGGGUCUUGAGGAAGGUAGGGGUCGCUGGGACGCGCGGUGGAGCGGUGAAAUGCGUUGAUAUCGAGCGGAACGCCGAAGGUGAAGACAAGCGACUGGGCCUCUCCUGACGCUGAGGCACGAAAGCGUGGGGAUCAAACAGG